GGUUGUUAAUUUAAACAUAUUUAUUUUAUUUCGGUUGCUGUUGUUGGUUGAUCUGGCCUAUUGUAUGUCUAAUACAGUCAUUCAUGUUACUUUUUUUUAAGUAUUAUAGCAAAAGUUCUUUACAUGUGAACAGUCAUAUCCUUGCAGGUUACAGUAAUAAUAAACUUGUAUGGCAUUCAUAAGCAGCAAAUAUUCCGGUUUAU
rnacentral:lncRNA from 1 species